rnacentral:lncRNA from 1 species
GGUGUCAAAUGGGCCGUCCGGACGGAUUUGGAUAUGUCCAGAUGGACUUUUUUUUUGGGCAUUUUUGGCCGAAGCCCAAAUAAUUCCAUUACCAAAUAGGACCAUUACCAAAUAGGACCAUGUCCAAUUGGACUGUCCAUGAAGUCCAGAUGUCCACUUAAUGUAAAAAAUCUAAUUUUCAAUUUAAAAGAUGUACAGAUUCUAAAUGUCAAAUAUAACAUUUUGAACUUACUUAAACUUCAUGUUUUAACAAAAGAUACUUCAAGUUUUAAACUUAAACUCCAUAUCUUACAAAAGGUACUUAACAAAAGAUACUUAAAGUCUUAAACUUAAAAUCCAUAUCUUACAAAAGCCAAAAGAUAAAGUCUUAAACUUAAACUCCAUGUCUUCACUUACUUCUCUUCUUUC